AUUGACUAGCUUGAGUCCGACCGGAGAGCAUCAAGGCCCGCAGAGCCCGCGCUAAGUCUCGGCGGCGGCGCCCAGGGCUGAGCCGUGGUAGCCCUGGUGUUUAGAGGGUGUCUUCCUCUAGAAAGAGAAAAGUUUGGCAGUGAUUUGAUUUCAACUGGGGAUAGGAUGUAAAGCCAGGCGUGGGGAAUCACCGUAUACUUUGCAGAGAGAGGCAGCUGCGGUCUUCCUGGUGCCUUCUAGUCCACACACCAACCCACGUCGUCAGCUUACACACAGACACACACAGACACACACACACACACACACACACACACAAACACUGGGCCAAGGGAGUUGCGGAUUUUCUGACUCCUUGUGCACUCAUCUGGAGGUGCGGAGUGGGUGCGUGCGCGCGCAUGCGUGCGCGCGCCCGAGAGAGAGCGAGAGAGAGAGAGAGAGAGAGAGAGAGAGAGAGAGAGAGAGAGAGAGAGAGAGAGAGCGUGUGUGUGUGUGUGUGUGUGUGUGUGUGUGUGGUGUAUGUACGCGUUUUCUCACGGUGGGAUGUUUAUUUCGGUGAACGCCAGGAAAGUGCAGUGUUAGAGAUCUGUCUGUGCUAGCUAGCUCGGGAGCAAACACGCCGCAAGCAACUGUAAUCAAUAUGUAACUUUCUUCAUCCUCAGAGAAAUCCCCGCUGUCCCCAGGCACCCAUGCAAGGAAAGUCACUUGAUUAUGAAAGUGUUUCAGAAGAAAAGCAGACGCCGGUGGAGAGAGAGGCAGUGUCUCGAAGGAGGGAACAAGCCUCUCUUAAGACAUGUUUUGCAGCUCCAUGAAACUGAAAUCUGGUUGAACAGUGUUUAGACUUCUACCUUUUAACCAUCUCCUAUCACAGCCCACAUUCAAGCUUUAGAAUCUCAAAGCUUGCUUUUGUCUGAACUGCUUUCACAAACAUCCACAAGUUACGAUCAGUUUUGGUUCUGAUCUAGCAGUUCUGGAGCAGAGUUAAGAGGGACAAAGGAAAACAAUCCGUUGAAAUAGAGAAGUGACAGGCAGUGAAAGAUACUUCUUAGAAAAUGUUGACUCCUCUGGAAUAAAGCACUGCUAUGAGAAUUUUCCAGGUGGAUUGUUCCAAGGUUUCUUUCUCCCUUCACAAUGGCUAGUUGUUAUCUGUACUACUUCCUAUCUACGAAAGGAGGAAGCUUUUCUGGUGAUUGUUGAGAGAGAUACCGACCUAUGGAUAUAACAGAAUGUCCUUUAGGAGUCUCUUUAUUGCUAAGUUUCUUCAGCUUGGGCUCUUGGCUGUCUGAGCUCUGCCAAGGAUGGGUUUCAUUUGAGUAGAUAUGAAACUCAAUCAGAUUUGGUUGGUUAACCCACAAGCUUUGUGCUGCUAUUGAGUAAGCUCAUCUUGCAGAGAGAUCGCAUUGUAGGUACAAGAGUUUGCAGAAGGGUGGUUGUUUGUCUUUCUCUUUUUGUAAGUGCAGAGGAAUUGCCAGGACCAUGAACAGGUGAAAUAAUAGGUGAUGUAGGCUCUAGGUAGGUACAACCUUGACUUCUCCACCUUCAAUGAGUUACGCAGGUGGGGUUAUGGCAAUAAGGUCUUAUCUUCUGUCAGUUUGGGGAAAGCAAAAACCAAUGAAACAAGUUUCAUUGGCAUAACUCGUGUUUUUGGGGAGGGGAGAACCUGUGGGGAUCCUUGACUAACAAUUUAAUUAGAUAUAACCCAUUCACAGAGCUGGAAGCUUCACUUGGGGCAACUCUAUUUCCUGCUUUAGGCAUGAUUUUUCUUUGUACUAUUUUAGUUUUCCUUUUAGUUUUUGCUUUCAUUUAAAUUUAGCCUCAUGUUUUUAUGGGCAAAUAUUUAGCUGUUCUUUGUAAGCAGUAAUAUAUAGUAACUACGCUAUAAUGAAACUACUCCUAUGUGCAAAGAAAAUGGAGUUUUUCAACUUGGCCUAUAACAGGUCCAAACUUACAAGCUCCUUUAUCUGAUAGGUAAUUAACUUUUUUUCACCUUUUAAAAUGUAGUUUGGCAUCACUGAAAUGAUAUAUUUUGCAUGGAUAGAAAAGACCUAUGUCUAUAUAAUUAGUUACUUCUAUGGACAUUAAUCAGCCUUUUUCUAUAGAUACACAUUCCCACAUUUGUGAUACCCCCUGUAGAGAUGGUUUUCAUUAUGGAGACAGGUGUUACUCACCCCAGUGUUUACUCCUCACUGUAGCUAGUACUUCCUGUUUGUUACUUCCUAGUUUGCUUAGGUUCCUAUGGUGCUUAUUAAAUUCUGUAUGUCACAGAAUUUAGUGGUCACCAAUGGACUCCAAAGAUUUCUGUCAUGUGUGUUAUCCAAACUCUUGAUUUGUCUGCUUGUCAUACAGCCACUACUUACUUUUUCUUAAUUUUUUUCAAUUGUUGGAAUACAUUGUAUAUAUUUAUAUUAAGUAAAGUUUUUUCAGCAUUUAACACAUUAUUAUUAUUAGUGAGGAUAAUGAUGACACUGGAGAUCUAUUACUUUAAUAGUCAUCAUGCACACCAUAUUAUACAAUCCUAUGGCAUGUUACAACUGUGAUGUUCAUUUGGAACCAACUCUGCAGUCAAGGGAAAAAGAAAAAGAAGUAAACCCUGGAAUUUUAAACUACUACUAAUCUGCAUUUCCCUGACGGCAAAGGAUGCUGAACAUUUUGAAACUGUCUCCUAGUCAUUUGUAUUCCUUGUUCUAGAAAACUGGGUUUCGUCUAGACAUUCAGCCCAGGGGAUGACCCUCCCUCUCUUUAGAAGCAGGUUUUCUCUCCUUAAGCAGUUCUCCCCUUGCAAUGCCUUUGUAGAUACAUUCGGAGGUGUGCCUCAGUCUCUUAAGUCUUUCUACAUCUAGUCAGAUUAUAAAUAGCACAAGCAGAGAUGUUUGUCUUCAGGAUGAUGAGAGAAGUCUAAAAGAAGCAUGCCUUGUCUACACUGGCUUCUCCAUGUCAGAUUCUAGUGUCUUCAAUCCUUGCAACUGUCUCCUCCAUAUUAGAUUCUAGUUUAUAAACCCCAGGCAAAAUUGUGUUUUUAUUAUUUUUAAGUCACUAACUCUAUGGUAUUCUCUUAUGGGAGUCUCAGAGAUAGGAUAUAGGGCAAUGAUUUAAAAAUGUUUUAACAGACAUAAGGGCAAUUGCCUUUCUAAAAAUAAAUUCUGUCUCCGAGAUUCCAGUCUUCCACUGUCUACAAUGAACUUUUUGCAUGAUUUAGAAAUACUCCUGACACAAAUAACAGUAACAUAUAAGAUCAUUAUAUGUUUUAAAGCAAAGGCUUUCUCAGUAAGAUACUUAUUUUAACUGACAUAUGCCUGUGUCUUAAGGUUUUCACUGAUAAUAUUAUAUAUUUCAGGAAUUUAAUAGAGUAGAAUAUGCAUGCACACAAUUGUCUACUUUGAAGUUCAUUCAUAAUUCAGUAACAGUUUGUUAAUGCAAGAAGUUAAACAUUAAAACUGUCAACAUUAUAAUUUAUGUUUUCUUGUCUAAUAACAUUUUGUUCUUUAAUAACUAUAUUCAUUAACAUUUAAAAUUUCAUCUAUUAUUUUCACAUGUUUAAUAAUUUUCAGGAAGCUAUUCCCUUAACAUACUUUCUUAAAUGAUGGUGCCUUCUUUAUAAUAUUGAAAUGCUAAACAUAUAUACCUUCUGUUUCUUAUGUUUAAGUGAAUUUCCACUUUAUCUUAGCAGGAAAUUGUUAAAUAAUUAAAGCACCUUGUAAAAAUAUAAA